rnacentral:rRNA from 1 species
UACGGGGGGAGCAAGCGUUGUUCGGAUUUACUGGGCGUAAAGGGCGCGUAGGCGGUCAGUGAAAGUCAGUUGUGAAAUCUCCGGGCUUAACUCGGAAAGGUCAACUGAUACUGCUCGACUAGAGUGCGGAAGGGGCAACUGGAAUUCUUGGUGUAGCGGUGAAAUGCGUAGAUAUCAAGAGGAACACCUGCGGCGAAGGCGGGUUGCUGGGCCGACACUGACGCUGAUGCGCGAAAGCCAGGGGAGCGAACGGG